CCCUUAGAUGUUCUGGGCCGCACGCGUGCUACACUGAGCGGGCCAACGGGUGAGGAUGUGCGAAAGCGCUUCCCAAUCUCUAAAUCCGCUCGUGCUGGGGAUCGAGGCUUGCAAUUAUCCCUCUUGAACGAGGAAUACCUUGUAAGCACGGGUCAUCAUCCCGUGCUGAAUACGUCCCUGCCCUUUGUACACACCGCCCGUCGCUCCUACCGAUUGAGUGGUCCGGGGAGGCCUUGGGAGGGCUAAGUGGGCUGUGUUUCACAGACUACCUGGCCCGAACCUGGUCAAACCUUAUCACUUAGAGGAAGGAGAAGUCGUAACA
rnacentral:rRNA from 1 species